CCCCUAAAUCAAGACUGCCCUUGCUGCUUGUAGACAAGGAAGAGGAGCUGGGCUGGGGCCACCAAGCAGAGCAUGGUGUCAUGUGAUUCACUGGAGCUGCUGCUUGAGUGGAAAUGCUCUCAGUGGUGGAGAAUGGACUGGAUCCCCGGCUGCCAUCCCAGUAGGCAUAUCUAUGUACACGGAGUCCUCUGUUCGGGCUGAUUCAGGGAGCGUCCUAGGAUAAGAAGAACAAUGUCAAGGCUUUUACUCUUGAAAACAGCAACAAGCUGGCCAGUUAACUCGGCUGCUCAGAGCGCAGCCUCACAUCACCGAGGUCCUGGGUUCAGAUUCCCUUACUGACCAGCCACCAAAAAAAUAAAAUAAAAAUAAAACUUUCAUU